rnacentral:rRNA from 1 species
AUUGAACGCUGGCGGCGUGCCUAAUACAUGCAAGUAGGACGCAGAUGCGAAAGGGUGAGUAACGCAUAGGUAACUGCAUAUGAGAGGGGGAUAACUAUUGGAAACGAUAGCUCAUACCGCAUACUAGUAGAGUGAACUGCUUUGUAUUAGCUAGUAGGUAGGGUAAUGGCCUACCUAGGCGACGAUUCCUAGCCGACCUGAGAGGGGGAACCGCCCCACUGGUACUGUGACACGUCCCCGACCUCCAAGGGAGGCAUGAGUAGGGAAUCUUCGGCCAUUGGGGGCACACUGACCGAGCAACGCCGCGUGAGUUAAGAAGGUUUUCGGAUUGUAAAGCUCUGUUGUUAAGGAAGCGUUACUUUCCCAGAAAGGGACGGCUAACUACGUGCCAGCAGCCGCGGUAAUUC